rnacentral:rRNA from 1 species
GAUGAACGCUGGCGGCGUGCCUAAUACAUGCAAGUCGAGCGAACAGAUGAGGAGCUUGCUCCUCUGACGUUAGCGGCGGAAGGGUGAGUAACACGUGGAUCACCUACCUAUAAGACUGGGAUAACUUCGGGAAACCAGUACUGAUAACGGAUAAUAUCUUGAACGGCAUGGUUCAAAAGUGAAAGACGGUUUUGCUGUCACUUAUAGAUGGAUCCGCGCCGCAUUAGCUAGUUGGUAAGGUAACGGCUUACCAAGGCAGCGAUGCGUAGCCGACCUGAGAGGGUGAUCGGCCACACUGGAACUGAGACACGGUCCAGACUCCUACGGGAGGCAGCAGUAGGGAAUCUUCCGCAAUGGGCGAAAGCCUGACGGAUCAACGCCGCGUGAGUGAUGAAGGUCUUCGGAUCGUAAAACGCUGUUAUUAUGGAAGAACAAAUGUGGAAGUAACUAUGCACGUCUUGACGGUACCUAAUCAGAAAGCCCCGGCUAACUACGUG